UUUUGCUUCUCCAAAGUGUACCUCUAAAGACUUUCACAAAUUUCAGGACUUCAGUCAGUUCCUGCUUAUUUUUCUAAUACAGGUACCAAAAUUUCCCAAUGUUCCUUUCCUUAGGUUUGUAUACCUCUAAAACCAACUGUACAGAAUACGAAUGCCUCUUUUUACCCUCUUUAGUUGUCAAGAGUUAUAAUAACAUAUUCAGUGCAUUUGUAUUUGUAAGUUACAGUUUACUUCUGGUCACUAGAAAGACAGGUACAAAAGCUUCCUUAUCAUUUUAAAAAGAAAAUCUUCUAAGUGCUGUUUAGAUUUCUGAUGUAAGCAUUAUAGGGUUUCCAUAGUUUUGUCAUAAAUUUCAGUAUUACACCUUAAGUUAGACUUACCAAGUAUGUUUCUGAAUUCUGGUAUCUUCCCUGAGGAACUACACUGCCAUUUUGAGAUGCAGAGAAACAUCUGCAUUGAAAACUAGAAAAAAACCACCCCAUUUUCACAUGUAGCCUAAACCAAGAUUUCUUUACAAAACAACUGAGACAAAAGACUUUCAAUUCACAAUCUGAUAAUACACGAACUUCCAAUAAUUCUCACGUUCUAGUCUGAUAAGCAUCUUUGUGAACUACUGCAAGUUUAUAAUCUGGAAGUACCAACUAGAGCAAUGCAAAGGCUCAUGCCUGUUUUACAGACGCCUAGGGACUAUGAUAUAGGAGUUGAGACUAACAGUUGUGAAGACUUGACACCGAGAGAUAGAAGUCGUCUCUGUGAAAAAAGGAGCACAACUUCAAGUCUCGACACAAUCAGAUUAGGAUACCAGGAUGGUACUCUACUGAACAGAGCAGGUUCAGACUUCCUACUCCAUACUAGAUUAGGUGGCACAAGGUAUUUAAUCUACAAUAGAAGUCUACACCUUUCAAAGAAAGGUGCAUACAAUUUUUCUCUUUAAAAAAAAAAACAAACUUAUUUCUGUUCUAAGGAGAUUUGAUACCAAAAGUUUCUCCAAAACUUUCCUACCAAGCACACGAUAAGCAAGACACUCUGAGUUUGCGAUUUGUUCAAUACACUCUUCAUAAAUCAAGAAAUCAAACAAAGCGGACUUUUAAAAAACUUGCCCAGCCAAACAAACAAUACUCAUGCCCCUCAAGGGCUAUCUAUGAAUUAGGUAUCUUGAAAACUUACCUAAAAAUCUGGCUCUGAAGCUAAAUUUUAGUUUAGCUUCUGAAAACAAGCAAAACCAAUCAAACAGCAGAAACACACUCAAAAACUACAUGCUAAAACCAGCAACGUAUCAUAUAGCAUCAGGCCCCUUGUCUUACCUAACACUGUUCUCAAUGUUGGUGGAAGCCUCUAAUUACAAUGGCUUUACUACAGCGUAACUGAAAACAAAAAUAUAUCCUAUUUAAUUCCCAGAUUUCUUCUAACAUACGGAAUAUCAGAUGGGUAGAUUUUCUUGCCAUUAUACAUAUGUAGUCUUUCUGAAGCUUAAAAAUUUCUCCAUUAGGUAGAAGUUAAAUAAAAUCAUUUACUCUUCAAAAGCCAUUUGCACAAUAAAUUUUCAAGGAAUUUCUGAAUUUUAGUGACCAACACAAAGGAGUGAACCAACCUUUUAAUACUGCUCAUGCAACACAAGGAAAAGCACCCAAAAAUGCACUGCGGAAGGAAAUAAUUGAGCAACAGAGUUACAUUUUCUAAUACGACUCAGAUAAAGAACAAAGUAAAAAUUACUAUUCGUCUUCAGAAAAUAAUGGGAAUGUUUUUCCUGUGAAUUUUAACUGUUGAUUUAUGUAAUGGAUGGGAACCUAGAUGAGAGUUGAUUCCCUCUCAUGACUGAGACACAUAAAGGAUAUUUUUUGUCAAAGUGUAUUCGGUAGAGUAUGCAUGUUUAUGUUCAUCGUGACUGUUGGAGAGAGGCAGGAAAACACAGGUGUGCAGCUGUUCUAUGACCUUCAUACUUGGCUGCACUGGGACGCCAUGCUCUCGGCAUGGACAAUAGCGAGAUCAUGAGAAACUGCAAGGCCUCAUGAGUAAACAAUUACAGAGCUGGCAUAAAGCC
rnacentral:lncRNA from 1 species